rnacentral:misc_RNA from 1 species
GUAUAUAACUGUUUUCCAACCAAAUCAAUGGCAUUGAAUAUCAGGCAAACACUUUUUUUUAUCAAGCGAGAAAAGCGGCAUUGCUACUGCUAUCUCAUCCAAAUCAAUUUUUGAUAUAGUUGCGAUCGUUUGUUUGAAGAAACAAAGAAGAAAAAAGGCAACACCGAAAAGAAGAAAUGCAGAGUAUGCUUUCCUCCCCCAAUAUCCCCCAAUUCCUCCCUUGCAACUUAAUAGAAAGUUGUUUUCUAUGAUGAUCCCUCCGCAGGUUCACCUACGGAGA